UUUUUUAAAACUAUGUUCUUAUGCCUUUUACUACUCUUAAUUGGAAAAUUAUCUUGAAACGAGACGCGUACAUAUACCCUCUUGUUUGGCGCGUCAAAAGUCAUAUCACACGAACGUGUCCAUAAUUGAUAGCACUUAAUUAUUAUUAAGAGUGUUUGGGCCGAAGUUGAGCGAACACAUAUUCCGAUUUUAUUUUUAGAAAUGUAGUUAUGUUACGCGAACGUAUACGCAACCAGUAGUUAUGUUACGCGAACGUAUACGCAACCACACUUGGUAUUUUUAAACGGUCUUGAAGGAUAUUCUACGAAAUAUUAUUUUAUAUAGCCUACGAAAUUACUAAAAGCCAUGUCUGAUUUUAAUAAACUUACGAACUAGAAUAAUUAUAGUCUUGCCACCUAUUUUAUUAUUAAGAAAAAGUUGAGCGAACUAGCACAAACGCAUACUCCAAAUUAAUUUUUAGAAUUGUGACCAUAUUACGCGGAUAUAUACGCAACCACAAUCGUAUAUUUUUCGGCCCGAAAGGCUUGCUACGAAUAUUAAUUUUUUAUAAACCAUUACUGAACUAAUCCCAAUUUCGGUUCAACAAGGCAUGUGAAACUAAAUUCAAGAAAACUAACUUAACAUGUACACGCCAAUCCAUUUUAAUCACAACAAAAGCAAACAAUAGAGAAACGAUCAUUCAUCAAACUCACAAGACAUUUGGGCCAAGCAAAUAAACCUAACACCAUCCUUAAACGUAGAAUAAAUUCAGUGGAAAUGUUUUUCCUAGAUAGUUACAAGAACUUGCAGGAAUAUGGAGUUCACUACAGCCAGUAAAUCUACUUACUUAUCUUAAACAAAAUCACAUGGGAUAACUUUCAAUAAACAUAAAUCCGUCAUGUCUAUCAAACAGGAAAUUAACAAAUUUAACCAAAACUAAUGAGACAUAACAUAUAAAAGAAGGAGUCAUUUCAGUCAUAUGUUCGAAAUCUCAAAACAAGAAAUAAACUCACAUGUCAUAAACCAUAUGAGAGGGAUUGUAGACUUGUCGCCGGCGGAGGGCGGUGGUGAUAUUAGGGUUUCUGUGGGUGGAAGUUUAGAGAC
rnacentral:lncRNA from 1 species